GGCACAACUUUUUGGAAUUUUGGAUCCUCUAUGCUCUUCAACUUUGUAUUGUUUGGCUUUAUAACUAUUUUGAUAUGAGCGUCACUGAUGAGUCUUAUGUAGACGAAACGCGCGUCUGGCGUACUAAAUUAUAAUCCUGGUACUUUUGAUAACUAUUUACACCACUGGGUCGAUGCCACUGCUGGUGGACGUUUCGUCCCCGAGGGUAUCACCAGCCCAGUAGUCAGCACUUGGGUGUUGACAUGAAUAUCAAUAAUGUGAUCAUUUUUAUAAAUUUCCUGAUACAAAACUUUGAAUUUUUCGAAAAAACUAAGGAUUUUCUUGUCCCAAGAAUAGAUUACCUUAGCCGUAUUUG
rnacentral:lncRNA from 1 species